AGCGAACGCUGGCGGCGUGCCUAACACAUGCAAGUCGAGCGCGGGCAUUUCGGGGGUAACCCCGGGAUGUGCUGAGCGGCGGACGAGUGAGUAAUACGUGGACAACCUGCCUUAAAGCUUGGGAUAACUCCGGGAAACUGGAGCUAAUACCGGAUAAGACCACGGUGUCUAUGGAUGCUGAGGUAAAAGGCGGCCAGGAAACUGGCUGUUGCUUAAGAU
rnacentral:rRNA from 1 species